GGGUUGUGAGGUUAAGCGACUAAGCGUACACGGUGGAUGCCCUGGCAGUCAGAGGCGAUGAAGGACGUGCUAAUCUGCGAAAAGCGUCGGUAAGGUGAUAUGAACCGUUAUAACCGGCGAUGUCCGAAUGGGGAAACCCAGUGCAAUUCGUUGCACUAUCGUUAACUGAAUACAUAGGUUAACGAGGCGAACCGGGGGAACUGAAACAUCUAAGUACCCCGAGGAAAAGAAAUCAACCGAGAUUCCCCCAGUAGCGGCGAGCGAACGGGGAGCAGCCCAGAGUCUGAAUCAGCUUGUGUGUUAGUGGAACGGUCUGGAAAGUCCGACGGUACAGGGUGAUAGUCCCGUACACCAAAAUGCACAGGUUGUGAACUCGAAGAGUAGGGCGGGACACGUGGUAUCCUGUCUGAAUAUGGGGGACCAUCCUCCAAGGCUAAAUACUCCUGACUGACCGAUAGUGAACCAGUACCGUGAGGGAAAGGCGAAAAGAACCCCGGCGAGGGGAGUGAAAAAGAACCUGAAACCGUGUACGUACAAGCAGUGGGAGCACCUUCGGGUGUGACUGCGUACCUUUUGUAUAAUGGGUCAGCGACUUAUAUUCUGUAGCAAGGUUAACCGUAUAGGGGAGCCGCAGGGAAACCGAGUCUUAACUGGGCGUUAAGUUGCAGGGUAUAGACCCGAAACCCGGUGAUCUAGCCAUGGGCAGGUUGAAGGUUGGGUAACACUAACUGGAGGACCGAACCGACUAAUGUUGAAAAAUUAGCGGAUGACUUGUGGCUGGGGGUGAAAGGCCAAUCAAACCGGGAGAUAGCUGGUUCUCCCCGAAAGCUAUUUAGGUAGCGCCUCGUGAACUCAUCUUCGGGGGUAGAGCACUGUUUCGGCUAGGGGGUCAUCCCGACUUACCAACCCGAUGCAAACUACGAAUACCGAAGAAUGUUAUCACGGGAGACACACGGCGGGUGCUAACGUCCGUCGUGAAGAGGGAAACAACCCAGACCGCCAGCUAAGGUCCCAAAGUCAUGGUUAAGUGGGAAACGAUGUGGGAAGGCACAGACAGCCAGGAUGUUGGCUUAGAAGCAGCCAUCAUUUAAAGAAAGCGUAAUAGCUCACUGGUCGAGUCGGCCUGCGCGGAAGAUGUAACGGGGCUAAACCAUGCACCGAAGCUGCGGCAGCGACACUAUGUGUUGUUGGGUAGGGGAGCGUUCUGUAAGCCUGCGAAGGUGUGCUGUGAGGCAUGCUGGAGGUAUCAGAAGUGCGAAUGCUGACAUAAGUAACGAUAAAGCGGGUGAAAAGCCCGCUCGCCGGAAGACCAAGGGUUCCUGUCCAACGUUAAUCGGGGCAGGGUGAGUCGACCCCUAAGGCGAGGCCGAAAGGCGUAGUCGAUGGGAAACAGGUUAAUAUUCCUGUACUUGGUGUUACUGCGAAGGGGGGACGGAGAAGGCUAUGUUAGCCGGGCGACGGUUGUCCCGGUUUAAGCAUGUAGGCUGGUUAUCCAGGCAAAUCCGGAUAAUCAAGGCUGAGGUGUGAUGACGAGGCACUACGGUGCUGAAGUAACAAAUGCCCUGCUUCCAGGAAAAGCCUCUAAGCAUCAGGUAACAUCAAAUCGUACCCCAAACCGACACAGGUGGUCAGGUAGAGAAUACCAAGGCGCUUGAGAGAACUCGGGUGAAGGAACUAGGCAAAAUGGUGCCGUAACUUCGGGAGAAGGCACGCUGGUGUGUAGGUGAAGUCCCUGCGGAUGGAGCUGAGACCAGUCGAAGAUACCAGCUGGCUGCAACUGUUUAUUAAAAACACAGCACUGUGCAAACACGAAAGUGGACGUAUACGGUGUGACGCCUGCCCGGUGCCGGAAGGUUAAUUGAUGGGGUUAUCCGUAAGGAGAAGCUCUUGAUCGAAGCCCCGGUAAACGGCGGCCGUAACUAUAACGGUCCUAAGGUAGCGAAAUUCCUUGUCGGGUAAGUUCCGACCUGCACGAAUGGCGUAAUGAUGGCCAGGCUGUCUCCACCCGAGACUCAGUGAAAUUGAACUCGCUGUGAAGAUGCAGUGUACCCGCGGCAAGACGGAAAGACCCCGUGAACCUUUACUAUAGCUUGACACUGAACAUUGAGCCUUGAUGUGUAGGAUAGGUGGGAGGCUUUGAAGCGUGGACGCCAGUCUGCGUGGAGCCAACCUUGAAAUACCACCCUUUAAUGUUUGAUGUUCUAACGUUGGCCCCUGACCGGGGUUGCGGACAGUGUCUGGUGGGUAGUUUGACUGGGGCGGUCUCCUCCCAAAGCGUAACGGAGGAGCACGAAGGUUAGCUAAUCCUGGUCGGACAUCAGGAGGUUAGUGCAAUGGCAUAAGCUAGCUUGACUGCGAGCGUGACGGCGCGAGCAGGUGCGAAAGCAGGUCAUAGUGAUCCGGUGGUUCUGAAUGGAAGGGCCAUCGCUCAACGGAUAAAAGGUACUCCGGGGAUAACAGGCUGAUACCGCCCAAGAGUUCAUAUCGACGGCGGUGUUUGGCACCUCGAUGUCGGCUCAUCACAUCCUGGGGCUGAAGUAGGUCCCAAGGGUAUGGCUGUUCGCCAUUUAAAGUGGUACGCGAGCUGGGUUUAGAACGUCGUGAGACAGUUCGGUCCCUAUCUGCCGUGGGCGCUGGAGAAUUGAGGGGGGCUGCUCCUAGUACGAGAGGACCGGAGUGGACGCAUCACUGGUGUUCGGGUUGUCAUGCCAAUGGCACUGCCCGGUAGCUAAAUGCGGAAGAGAUAAGUGCUGAAAGCAUCUAAGCACGAAACUUGCCCCGAGAUGAGUUCUCCCUGAGACUAUAAGUCUCCUGAAGGAACGUUAAAGACGAUGACGUUGAUAGGCCGGGUGUGUAAGCGCAGCGAUGCGUUGAGCUAACCGGUACUAAUGAACCGUGAGGCUUAACCUUACAACGCCGAAG
rnacentral:rRNA from 1 species